GAGUUUGAUCAUGGCUCAGAUUGAACGCUGGCGGCAUGCCUUACACAUGCAAGUCGAACGGCAGCACGGGAGCUUGCCCCUGGUGGCGAGUGGCGAACGGGUGAGUAAUGCAUCGGAACGUAUCCUGGAGUGGGGGAUAACGUAGCGAAAGUUACGCUAAUACCGCAUAUUCUGUGAGCAGGAAAGCGGGGGACCUUCGGGCCUCGCGCUCUUGGAGCGGCCGAUGUCGGAUUAGCUAGUUGGUGAGGUAAAGGCUCACCAAGGCGACGAUCCGUAGCAGGUCUGAGAGGAUGAUCUGCCACACUGGAACUGAGACACGGUCCAGACUCCUACGGGAGGCAGCAGUGGGAAUUUUGGACAAUGGGGGCAACCCUGAUCCAGCCAUGCCGCGUGAGUGAAGAAGGCCUCGGUUGUAAG
rnacentral:rRNA from 1 species